rnacentral:misc_RNA from 1 species
GUGCAAGUAGGUCCUUUUGAUUCUCUCCAUAUACUGUCCAUAUUCUCAGCUAGCUAAGUCCUUGUUUCUCAAAUUUCCUUUCUGUAAUAUUCUUGUUUGAGAGAUCAAGCCAUGCAUGUCUGUAUAAAUAAAUGAAUAUUGAAAUGUUGCUUUCCAUGACAGAUACCCAUUAUAUUUAGUUCAAGGUCCAUGGAAUUACUGGAGGACAAAUA